ACAUACGACCAUAGAAGACGAAAAAUUGGGCAUCCCGUCCGCUCUGCCAUACACAAAUCGUCUAUCGGUAGUUCAGUAGUUGAGUGGGUGACCAUCAGCGAAUCCCUACUGUUGUAUGUU
rfam:Phialocephala subalpina strain TAMH 11012 genome assembly, contig: PAC_scaffold_006